rnacentral:piRNA from 1 species
UUGACGAUAGUUUCGAUUGAU